rnacentral:snRNA from 1 species
GUAUAAGUGAGUGCACAUAUACUAAAAUUGUAACGAUGCAGAGAAGAUUAGCAUGGCCCCUGCACAAGGAUGACAUGCAAAUUUGUGAAGUGUUCCAUAUUUCU